rnacentral:lncRNA from 1 species
GUAACUCUGACAGAGCUCAUUGUUUCCCCCUGCAGUGUAACCCUUACAGAGCUCAUUGUUUCCCCCUGCAGUGUAACCCUUACAGAGCUCAUUGUUUCCCCCUGCAGUGUAACUCUUACAGAGCUCAUUGUUUCCCCCUGCAGUGUAACCCUGACAGAGCUCAUUGUUUCCCCCUGCAGUGUAACCCUUACAGAGCCUAUUGUUUCCCCCUGCAGUGUAACCCUUACAGAGCUCAUUGUUUCCACCUGCAGUGUAACCCUGACAGAGCUCAUUGUUUCCCCCUGCAGUGUAACCCUUACAGAGCUCAUUGUUUCCCCCUGCAGUGUAACCCUUACAGAGCUCAUUGUUUUCCCCUGCAGUGUAACCCUUACAGAGCUCAUUGUUUCCCCCUGCAGUGUAACCCUUACAGAGCUCAUUGUUUCCCCCUGCAGUGUAACCCUUACAGAGCCCAUUGUUUCCCCCUGCAGUGUAACCCUUACAGAGCUCAUUGUUUCCCCCCUGUAGAGUUCAACAGACUAGCUGAGUCACCAGUGUACCCGAUAACUCUGGUACCAGGCUCCCAUUACCAGGGCUCAAUGUAAAGUCACUAGUGUACCUCAUAACCUUAAUUACAGUCCAGCACCAUUUAUCAAUGUCAAUGCGAAUUAUAAAUAUGAUCAAUAUUUUUAUCCAACUUCAUGAUAUUAUUGAUGAUUGAUCGCCAUGUUAGGGGCUACAGCUAAUUGCAUAGUAAAACUGUACUGUAUAAGAGUACUACAGCAGCACUGACUUAAAUUGUACUGUAUAAGAGUACUACAGCAGUACUGACUGAAACUGUACUGUAUACGAGUACUACAGCAGUACUGACUUAAAUUGUACUGUAUACGAGUACUACAGCAGUACUGACUGAAACUGUACUGUAUACGAGUACUACAGCAGUACUGACUGAAACUGUACUGUAUACGAGUACUACAGCAGUACUGACUGAAACUGUACUGUAUACGAGUACUACAGCAGUACUGACUUAAACUGUAUUGUGUACGAGUACUACAGCAGUACUGACUGAAACUGUACUGUAUAUGAGUACUACAGCAGUACUGACUGAAACUGCACUGUAUAAGAGUACUACAGCAGUACUGACUUAAACUGUACUGUAUAUGAGUACUACAGCAGUACUGACUGAAACUGUACUGUAUAAGAGUACUACAGCAGUACUGACUUAAAUUGUACUGUAUACGAGUACUACAGCAGUACUGACUGAAACUGUACUGUAUAAGAGUACUACAGCAGUACUGACUUAAACUGUACUGUAUACGAGUACUACAGCAGUACUGACUGAAACUGUACUGUAUAUGAGUACUACAGCAGUACUGACUGAAACUGUACUGUAUAAGAGUACUACAGCAGUACUGACUGAAACUGUACUGUAUACGAGUACUACAGCAGUACUGACUGAAACUGUACUGUAUACGAGUACUACAGCAGUACUGACUGAAACUGUACUGUAUACGAGUACUACAGCAGUACUGACUGAAACUGUACUGUAUACGAGUACUACAGCAGUACUGACUGAAACUGUACUGUAUAAGAGUACUACAGCAGUACUGACUGAAACUGUACUGUAUAAGAGUACUACAGCAGUACUGACUGAAACUGUACUGUAUACGAGUACUACAGCGGUACUGACUGAAACUGUACUGUAUAAGAGUACUACAGCGGUACUGACUGAAACUGUACUGUAUAAGAGUACUACAGCAGUACUGACUUAAACUGUACUGUAUAAGAGUACUACAGCAGUACUGACUGAAACUGUACUAUAUAAGAGUACUACAGCAGUACUGACUUAAACUGUACUGUAUACGAGUACUGCAGCAGUACUGACUUAUUAUGAGUACUAGUCUAGUACUAUGGUGAUGCAUUUCCACUGAGUCUUACCCCCACACCAGUGGUUAGCCAGUGUUUUAUGUUAAUGUAAGCUCUAGUGCAGUGUUUCCCUGGUCCUCCAUACCCCCAACAGCCCAACUCCAGUCCUCCAGUACCCCCAACAGCCC